GAUCUUGGUGGUAGUAGCAAAUACUCAAAUGAGAACUUUGAGGACUGAAGUGGGGAAAGGUUCCGUGUGAACAGCAGUUGGACACGGGUUAGUCGAUCCUAAGCCAUAGGGAAACUCCGUUUUAAAGUGCGCUCUCGGGCGCCGCCUGGCGAAAGGGAAACCGGUUAAUAUUCCGGUACCUCGAUGUGGAUUAUCCGCGGCAACGCAACUGAAGGUGGAGACGUCGGCGGGGGCCCCG
rnacentral:rRNA from 1 species